rnacentral:misc_RNA from 1 species
CGUAGGUGAACCUGCGGAAGGAUCAUUAACAAAUCCUAGCCGUUGCCCCCUGCGGGGUAAUGGUGAAACACACCGUGCACUGGCGACCGGAGAUGGGAGCAAAGUCUCCACUCGGUUGAAAGGAGGUGCGCACCCGGUGUUGAAUCAGGUGGUGCACUUAAAUCAAUGGGAAUCAUUUUCAACCGCCCGCUGGGCCUCUAACCGAGUGCUCCCAUCUUUGGUUUUUUGUUUUUGACCUUUAUCGACUUGUAUCAUGUUUUUGGUAUGCUGCUGUGCAUUAAAAAGUAAUUGACAACUUCUGACGGUGGAUCUCUUGGCUCGUGCAUCGAUGAAGAACGCAGCAAGCUGCGAUACCUAGUGUGAAUUGCAGAAUUCAGUGAAUCAUCGAGUCUUUGAACGCAAAUGGCGCUCCCGGGGUCUCCUCGGGAGCAGGUCUGUCCGAGCGUCUGCCAACCAAAUGCAUUGUCACCAUGCCCGUGACAAGAGUGAGGAGCUGCGAAUGCAACCACCUGGUUACACUGCACUCCUUGAAAAAAGCUAGUCUGUGCAACACCACAUUGUGACAAGGCAGUCUCUCAGAAGACAGUCGUCACAACGGUAUAACAGGUUGUUUCGCUGUCUCUCGUUGAGCCUGCGACUUGUCCUUGUGUGUCUGCCAGCAUCAGGAUUGU